rnacentral:rRNA from 1 species
UACGGAGGGUGCAAGCGUUAAUCGGAAUUACUGGGCGUAAAGCGUGCGCAGGCGGUUUGUUAAGUCUGCUGUGAAAUCCCCGAGCUCAACUUGGGAAUUGCAGUGGAUACUGGCAAGCUGGAGUACGGUAGAGGAAGGUGGAAUUCCCGGUGUAGCAGUGAAAUGCGUGGAGAUCGGGAGGAACACCAGUGGCGAAGGCGGCCUUCUGGACCAGUACUGACGCUCAUGCACGAAAGCGUGGGGAGCAAACAGG